rnacentral:lncRNA from 1 species
GCCUGGGCCAGGUGGAGGGAGGAAUUUGACUAAUAGGUUUGCCUGGUGGGAGAAUACUGUGCCCCUGAGAAUUCUGUGGUGGUUCUUUUCCUCCAGCCCAGAUGCCAGGCUGGAUCCAUGGCAUCAAGAAUCCAUGAUUUCUGUUUCUAUCUACAAGGAUGAGAGGGAAAGGCAGCCAGCAGGACCCCCAGUAUGUAAGGUAAGGAUGGGCAUGGAUGGGAGGAGUGAGAAGCAGGAAGUAGGAUUCCCAAUUCUGCAAUUUCAACAGGGGCCAGGAAUUUGCCUUUUGUUAAUGACAAUUCAGAGGCUGCGGCUGUGUGCAGAGGAGAGCUAGACCAACUUCAGUAUUUUGAUUCUAACAGGGUACUGUGAAAAGGAACUUGAAGUUUUCCAUUUUGUGCUACAAUUACCAUUUGAGGAUUGCCAGCAGUGGCUGUUUUCUAGUAGUAGAAACAGCAAGAUCUUCUUUGUUCUGAGCAAGUCACCGGAAUGGGCCUUUUGUCACAUGUCUAUCACCUCCUUUGGUAAAAUUAGGCUUAGGCUCCAGCUAAGCAAUGGAGGGAGCCUGGAACCCCUAACCCAUAUUCCCAGAAAAGCAAGCUUGGCCAAGAGAUAAGGUAUGUCGAUUUGCAUUAAGAGGCAAGAGCAGUUAGUAUGGUCACAGGGACCUCCCCACCACACCUCACCCCAUGGAAGUAUAUCUAAUAUGUUAUUUCAUAUCAAUUAAUCCCGCUACUCACUUUGUUGUUGGUGUACUGGCUAGUAUCAUUUAUAAAAAUCAUUUGCAUGGGUGAAGGCCCCUAAGAGAUGAUCAGUGCCACAUACAUCAGUUGCUCCAAGAACAGCUCCUCUGCCUCUUGUUGUGAGAUGACACAUCUCUCUAUUAUAACAUUAUAUGGGUGCCUCUUCUCCAAUCAGAGAAAAGACUCAGCUGUAUUCUAUCCACACAAGAGACUCUCAGAGUAAUGCUCAACCCUAGAAACUGGAAGAGGAAACUGAGUUCUUCUUAGUAUUCCCAAGAAGUUUCCUCACAGCAAGAAUAAAUCCAGGAGCCAAACUAUACUACUAUUAAAAUGCUCCAACAAUGACCAGACUCAGUUUUUUUCCAUCACCCAGAUCUGUGUACUUUCUUGCUGCUAUGCUGGGCAGAUCUAACAUGGCUUGUCCUACUCUCAAUGCUGUGAACCCAGGUAUACUAAAGCCACUGUCUCAGACCCUACGUCACCCAUGGCACAGCACACCCCUCUUACCUCCCACCCAGAACUUUUCUAUUGCUGCUAAGGUAUGCAUUAUUGGUGGGUGUGAUAUGGUCAGCUAGCCACUAGUGUGUGAUAAUCAGUACAGAAGAAUUAAUGAUCCAUGGGGCAAGACUUUGGUCAAGGAAAAGGGAACCAGUGAAUAAAUUUCUUUCCCUUCCUCCCCCUGGAAGUACUGCCCAAAAAUGCAGUUACUUUUACAGUGUCUCUCUGAAGAUGUCUCACAAAAUCAAUCAGCUAUACUUGCCAGCAGGUAUAUCAAUAUCAAUAAUGCACCUAUCAAUAAUUCAGCUCUCAUAUUUGUUUUGCCUUUUUCUUUGCCCCACUUGUUUUUCUUCAUUGUUGCUUUAGCCAUUUAAGUGGUAGCAAGUAAACUUUUUUGACUUAGGCUCUGCUGUUCCAAACUAAGACUGUCACAAUAAGUGACAAUUUCCAAGUCCUGGCAGGGCUUUGAGGGUGGCAGCUUGAGCUGUUCAGGGUGGGUCUGGGAGUACAGAGCCAAUGGCUGCACCCAUACUGGUCAACAAGGCUCACAUGGUGGCACUGGCUGGAUGCAAGGACUGUGGAGCCAUGCCUAACAUCUCCAAGGGUGUUGGAAGCAGAGUGAUGCGUCAGCAUCCUUGGGCUCUUGGCUUGAUUUCUUGUUCCUACUGGCAUUGUUGGAACCUCAGUGACAGAGCAAUAGGCUAGGAUCAAAGAAGAAAAUCAUUUGGAGCUCUGGAAGGACAUUUUCCCAGGGUAUCCAGAAGCAGCAUAGUUGGAAUGAGAAUAUGAAAUGGAACCAUGGGGAGACAGUCAAGGUCAUAACUUAGGUUGGUGUGUCAAGAUAAACAGAAAAAGAAUGACUAGAAUGAGAUGUAAAAGAGGUAACCACAGGUUGUCCAGUCUCUAAGGUGUGUCCACUGCAAAAACAGGAGGCCUGCUCUCAUUCUGAGGCAGGAGCCAGCAUGCAAGGCUAAGCCUUAAGUCUGAAGGAAGUGGAGUCCAAGCACACAUUAAGUGCUGCUGAGAAAUCAGAAUGAGGCAAGGCCAGCUAUGCAGAUGUGACACUCCUCCACAUCUUAGAUGUGUCUCCAGCAUCCUUUCUCCAUGUUGUUUUCCCAUGGCCAGUAGUAUUCCCAUGGCCUUUUGGGAAAGCACGCCAGGUCCUUAGGUUUACACACUAUCUUUUUGAAAAGAGUAGUGAGUCCCAUAGACAGAGGGAAUACCCUUAACAUUAGCAUAGAGUAGCAGAAGGAAGCUGACAUUGCUAAAUUUGAAUGGCAGCCCUCUCACUCCUCAGCUGCUUGAUAUUAGUCAAAUUACUUGACCUCACAAAGCCUCAGACUUACAAUUGGCAAAACAGAAAUACUAGCAACUAGCUGACUCCUAACAACUAGUUGUAAAAACACUAACAAGUAACAAUUUGCAAUGAGCAAGAGAUACAUGUGUAAAGCUGCUAGCACUGAGCCUAGUGCAGAGUAAGUGGAAUUUUCACAAAACCAGGCUACAAGCACAAGGCUUCACCUGAAGCCAGAAAUAGAAAUGACCAGGCAAGGUCUCAGGGAGUUACAGAUUGAAAUCUGUACUUUCCAAGUACAAUUGGCCCCUUUGAGAUUCUCUCUGGGGUACCAGGAAAGGAGCUUUACAAAUAAUCUUAGAAUUUGCAAUGAGUAAAUUUCCAUUAUCCUCUAGAAGAUUUGGGGGGCUGGAGGCUACAGAGGCCAUUAGAUGCCAACAGAGAGCAAGCACAAGGAAAAGGCUGAAAUAUGAAUCUCUAUCACCACACUUCAAGCAGACACUAUUAAGUCUUCAGUACCAGAAAGUACUUUAGUGACUGGAAACUCACCAGAAUGGGGCUGGUUUCUAGAAACUCUUGCCUUUGCCCAAAAUAAUCAAUGUCAGAGUUUUUGUGAGUACCAUGGUGCACAGGGACAUGGUGCUUCAUGCACACAGAUAUGAAGUCCCUUUUACCCUCCUUUCUCUGAUCCCUUCCCUAAGGCAUCUGUCCCCAUAGCCCUCUCCACCUGAGCACACUCUCCUGAGUUUGGAAUUGAGUUGGGUAUACUCAAUUCCAAACCAAAAAAUAUUCUAUUACCCUCACAUCAAAAUUUAUCUAUAUGGUUGGGGUUGUGGCUCAGUGUUAGAGCGCUUGCCUAGCAAGCAUGAGGCACUGGGUUUGAUCCUCAGCACCACAUAAAAAUAAAAUAAAAGGUAUUGUGGGUAUUGUGUCCACCUACAGCUAAAAAAUAUAUUUUAAAAAAACUUAUAUAUAAAGAUGUUUCCUCAUUAUUCUCCCUAAAACUAAGUAAUCCAGGUCAAUGUAUAACUCUUUCAAGGAAAAAUCUCACUUUUUACCGGAGCCCUUUUGAAUCAUAAUGAUAUAGCCCAAAAAGGUAAUUCUAAGAAUGAAAUCUAGGCCCCAUGACUGCAUGGCAGAAAGUCAUUUGGAUCCCUUUUAGUACUUCAAAUCAGGCAAUGCUGGGCAGCGUUAGUCUUACUCGAGUUCUACAAACUGUUAGUCCUGUCAAAUUUCAUCAGAUCUAACUUUCCUAUUUGGUGUAAACCUAGCACCAUAAAUCUACCACAUUUAAUUCAUUAAUCAAGGAAAGCUCUUUCUGGUCACAAAUUAGUGACCUAUAGUAUUUCCCAGGGCUAAGCAAGUGCUCCUGAAGCUUUGCCCUGUCUAGACAUGUAUCUGAAACCAUCUAAUUGCCCCUGUACAUUCUGUACAGCACAAAAAGCCUGACGUCAGUACAUAAACAUGAAGCUCCCUAUUAAUAUUGCUGCUCAGUGAACUGUCCUUUUCCAUUUGCCCAUCUCAAAGUGAAAUCAUGCUACUGUUGAGAAUACGAAUAUACUUCAAAUAACAAGUUUCAAGUUAUGUUUAAUCCAAAUUAUGGGAGUUAAAUUCUCUAGGUAUCAAACUGAAAAAAGCCACCCGUGAAUUAGAAACAAAUUCAGAAGUAUCUAAAUAGCUUAAUGCAUAUUAUCUCAUGAUACAUUUAAAUAUUUUCCUUUCACAUACUGCAAAAGGCUAUAAAACAAAAAGAGACAAAUCCUCUACUUCCCUCCUUGUCAACAAGUUCUAUAUUAGACAAGUGUCCAAACAAGCCCAUGCCAUUAGUCAGGUACACUGGGUUAGGUCCUGGAAUGGACAGGGCUGUCCAUUCUGCCAUGUAUCAAGAAGGUCGACACACAUUAUUCCCUUCAAUUCUCCCACCUACCCAAGAGGGGGGGGCUGGAAAAUCACUUCCUACACUGAAAAGAGAACAAGUGCAAGGCCCUUAAUUUAAAAAGGUGAAGCCAAAAUACAAAGCCAGGACAUUUUAAUACUCAUAACUGUCUUAACACAGAUGCUGAAAGUGUAGGUGAAGCUUCAUUGUCCAGGGUGAGCACCCUGACAGCAGCAUGGAACCAUACACUUUAUUCCACACCCAAGAGUGGUCUAUACUGAAAGCCUCUUUUCACCUAAUAAACCUGAGGUGAAUGUAUGAACAAGAGACCCUCUCCAGUUGGUGACAACCAGCCACUGUCCCUCAAAUCUGGAACCUCAAGUUACACUAUCACAGCACCUUAUUCAUCUACCUUCACUGCUUAGAUAUUAAGUUUCUCAAGGAUGGCAUCAGGUCCUCCUGAUCUCUGUGUCCCAUACAUGGCACAGAGUCUUGGAAAAGAUGGACACAUGGCUAAGUUUUAUCAACUACACAGAGCCUUCUUUGGGUGCUCUUCCACCAUCUUCAGUGAUAUUAUACCUCUAUAAACUCAGUGGUCUUAGUCAAUUCCCUUACUGACUAGUGGUCCCAGGACAUGGCCCAACCUCUUUUCUCUCCCCUGAGUCCUGUUCCCUCCAAGGCCUGCUUUGGAAUCCUCAUGACUUUGAAACAUAAUGAUUUAAUCAAUUAAUGAAACUUUGCUUAUGAUUCAGGCAGAACAGAUAAUGCUUUAACCCCUAAAGAAUUCCCCAACAUGCGGAAUUUCAGAUUACAGCAAGGCUAAAUAGAUAAACAAAUUGGUUGAAAGGACAGGUAUUUCUGGUACUCUCCAUGUCACUUUCUACAGGCAAUGACUCAACCCACCUCAGGAUAAGGUGAUGUUAAAAAGACACCUCUGCAAACUCCAUGCCAACUGUCCAAGGAAAAAAAUCCUUUGGAUUUACAAAAAUCCCAAGGCCAAUUGAAUUAUGGACCUAUCACUGUGAUAUUCACUACAAGUCAGGAACAAAGGUUUAAUCUGGUCUACUAUGAAAACAGAAUAAUAUUCAGUUUUUUUUACUGUGGUUAGGUUUAAUUGUGGAAACCUGCUGCAUAUUUAUACAGAAAGCCAAACAUUGAAGAAAACCAUUUCUUUUCAUAAGAAUUUAUAGGAUAAAGGUCUUCUUAAAAGAUUCUUUAUUAGUAAAUAAAGACUUCAAAUAAAAAAUAGGAUCUGUACCUUUCAUAUAAACAUUUUUUAAUCAUGUCAUGUUAAUGUUUUUUCUUUUGAUUUCCAUGAUGAGCCAGGAUGAGCUCAGGCCUGUGCACAAGACAGGGGUUGAGUCACGUAUUUAAUAUAAGUGUAUAUUGUACACUUAGGGAUUGCACAAAGACAGACAAGUGCAACAGAUAUUUAAUACAGUAGUUAUUGGAAACAUUACAUAAUUGAAUAUGCCAAAAUAUACUGGCUGAGAAAAGGGAGAUUGAGCUUCAAAUCUUUGUAAUUUUUGAUUGGGUAAUACAGAAAACAACUGUCUCUACAAGUCCAACAAAAUAAUGAACAGGCUUUGUUUACUUUUAAUCAAAUUUCAAAUUAAUGUUUUAACCUCAAGUAUAUGGAGUAGAAACACAAUUUUCCCAAAAUCAGGUAAUAAAAAUUAACUUAAGGGUGAUAGCUUAAAUCAAAAGCACAAAUGAAAACUGAAAUAGACUCAGAUAUAUGCUUCCAUUUGCUGGAUGUAAACUCCUGUACUAUAAUUGCCAUUUUUAAUGUCCAAAAUCUUCCCCACAUAGGCUAUCCUUUUAAAAUGUCAUGACAAUUGAUUAACUUAAUCUAGUUUUCGAAAUUAUAAAAAUGCAUUUUUGAACUGAAUUUUCUAGUUAAUUAAUUAAUCCAAGAGAUUUUUUUCAUGACUAACCUGAAAAUUUUGCAUUUAUAGAUUGCCAUGAGUCUAUUAAUCCAUAAUGUAUUGCUAUAGUAUAACUAACUUAGUAUAUUAAAAUGAGGAAUAUAUAACUGUGAAACCAGUAAAGUGGAAACAUCUUUAAAUAUACUUAUAAUUUUAAAAAUAUAUGAAUUCAAAUAAUAUUCUGUUUCAAAACUAAAAACAUUGUCACUGUCAUUCCAAUCUAUUUUAACACAACAUUUCAUAUUUAAGUUAUAGAUAUCAAAAGGUUAGAUGCUGGAUGCAGCAUCUUCAAUUAACACUAGUUUGUUGUCAUAUAGACUACACAAGAGAUGAAAACUCUUAUUAAACUUUUUUUUUUAAAUCCUGGGGAUUUAAAACCAGGGCCUUGUGCAUGCAAGGCAAGCACUCUACCAGCUGAGCUACAUCCCCAGCCCUACUCUUAAACUCUUAACAACAGAGUAACCCAUUGGCACUGCAAUGAGUUUCCAUCAAGACAGAGUUGGUUUGGGUUUUUGGUUUUUGAGUUUUGUUUGGUUUGGAAUUUUUUUUUUAAUAAAAAUGAAAUAGUGCCUACCUGUUUCAGUCACAGAGAUCCCAUUAUUGGGAGCCAUUUCCAAGGAUCCCUGCUGGUUAUUCCCACUAAAACAUCCAUCCUUCUGCCUAUUAUGGCAGUUAUGCCACCCAGUCUUCUGAGAGAAAGGUGCUGUUACUUAAAUUUCAUUAUCCCAUCCUCCUAAAAUGCCAAAUAACAUCAAGGAGCUUCAUUUCAACUGUAGCAUCUAACAUCAGCAUCAUUGGCUAGUGAAGAACAGUUCUUUCAUCCCUCAAAGAAUGCUAAUGGCCUCUCGUAACUUAAUCUUUCAAGUUUUUGUUUUAGUGAAUCUCUAUCAGAACCCACUCAAGGCAUACAGAUGAAAUAUGGCUCUCUAUACCCAUAAUAUAUCCUUGCAAUAUUCUUAUCCUUAAUGUUUAGAUUCUUUGUUCCUAUAAUAUGCAAAGGUAUAUUUAGUAUCUCAUUUGGGGGAUGAUUCAAAUUUUGGUUAAAUCAAACAAACAAUUAGAAUCCAUGCCAUCUAUUUGUGCUAGUAUACUGAACACAGAACAUCCAGUUAAGUACUCCAUAACAAUAAAUUCAAUCCAUAUAAAAUUGUGUUUUUUCUUUACUUGACCCAGAACCUUCAAAUUCCAUUCUCACACAUAUUCCCUAUUUUUUGGUCAAUAUUAAUUGGCAAAGUCUUGCAACUUUUUAUCAACAUAUGGUAUCUCCUCCUAGCUUUGACUCUGUCAUUUCAAAGCAUGCUGGAAUCUAAGUUUAGUUAUAUAUCUGGAAAUGGAGCAUAAGAAGCAUAAAGAGAAUGGACUUUAAUGAUGCAACUCUACCAAGAAAUAGAAAUUUCCAUCAAGACAGGAGUAAUUUCAUCAAAGAGGGGCAAGUGCUGCUUCUGCUGGCAAGGGUAACUUGAUGGACUCUGGGAUAUUUUGGGUUCACCAAAUCCUACCAUAACCCCUCAUUCUAGUUUUCAGGCUCAAUUAUUUUUCUAAGUGCACAAACUUGAACAUAAGGGACCUGAUAUGAAUCUUACUGACACCAUAAUUUGGCAACAUGCAUAACUGCACUUGGCAGCCUUUUCUAUCCUAAAUUAUACAAAAGAUUCUUUUUAUGCAGUCAUAGAAAGUCUCUAUUUUUCAAUUCAUGCUUAGAUAGAAAUUUUUAGUUAUUUGAGUUUAUAUUUCCUUUUUUACAGCCAUCUGGUACUGUGAGAAGCAGCCACCAUGUCACUCCAGUGCUUCACAUCCUCAUCCCUUCAUGAUUGUUUUAUGGAAGCCCUGAAUGAUUCCUAAAAGCCUUCCCUUCAAUGAGCACUUCAUUCUAGAAGUUCACAGAUGAUUUAUUUGCUGAUUUGCCACCUAAUGUCAUGGUAUGCCAGAAACUCAUCCCUUGCACAGCUGGAUUUUUCACUACUUUCAGCUGUAACUAAGCUAGACAACCAAUCCCACUUUUCUGGUUCCAUUUCUCUGCAAUUCUAUUUACGGUGUCAAAUUCCAUAUCAAUCAGAAUUCUAAGGUGCAAAGAAUAAACAACAAAAUGGACACUGGCCACUUUAAGCAGAAAUGGAAUUGAAACAAUGUUGGAUAUUCCCACAAUCUUUGAGAAGGGUAGAAAAAGGUAUUUGAAAACAACCAGGAGCAAACAGGAGUCUACCUAAUCACAACAAAAACUAUGCCAAAAAUUCAAGGCUGUUGCUUCUGCUGGACCACUCAGCUAGCUGGCAGAGUUAACUGCACCAACAAUACGUCAAUAAGACAGGGUAACUGCUGAAACUGUCAUCACUGCUGUGAUGUAAAGAAAUGUUCUUGUCAUCACUGGGACACUGAGUGGGUUCUCCAUUCUACCUGCUUCUCCUUGAGUUUAGAGUGGGCAUACCUGAUCGGCUGGGUUCAGCACAUGCCCUGUGCCAAAGGCAAUAGGAAACUGAAUAAUGGAGCAUCCUAGACUCUAUGAUGAGAGGCAAGUUCUGAAUCCUGCUAAAAGUAACUAAGUUAGAAAUUUUUCAAACAAGGAAGAGGGAAAAGACAAAUAUCCACUAUUGGUUUUGUCUUUAUAUUAUUAGCAAGCACUGUUAGAGCAAAAGAAGAUAUGGUUUUAUUGAAGCCAAAACUGGAAUAUUUCCACACUAAGGGGAAUAGCAGAGAGUUGCAAAAAUUUCAUUUAUUUGUAGGUGUUUUGCAUCUAUGGUAGGAAAAAUGUUCUAUAGUGAAUUAAAAAAAAAAAAAAGCUAGUAAAAAGAAAAGGUUCCCUUGAGCUUAAACAUGCAAAUCACAGAAUCUGGAAAUAAUACUCUUGAUCCUUCAUCCUUUUUUCAGUCCUCAAUAAGAUUGAUUCAUAAGAAGUGUUUAAAAUAUAUGCUAAUAUUUUCCCAAAAAAUGUUUUAAAAUUCUACAAAGACCUAAAGGAGAACAUUUGUUACCAAUAUGACCAGAGAUGAGCAUCAAAGGAGAGAAAAAUUCUUAUUAAUAACUGAAUUCCAUAUUUCCCUUUAAGCAUGUUUAAAUCCCAUCACAGCAGAGCAUGUUAAACAAAUCUGCCUUCCAAGAGUGCAACUCUGAAGAGAAAUAGUGGAGGAACAAUGGAGAAUCAGAAAUACAAUUGGAAGAGCAUAAAAGGAAAUAUGUGGCUAGGCAGGGGGAUUAGUGAGUACUUGGUGAUUUUAGAUGUUUUUGCCAUUGGUGAGGAACAGAGCUUUUUUUUUUUUUUCUAUAUUAAGAAAAUAAAGAAUACAGAGCCUACGGAAAUACAUAGCAAUUUCCCAUCUUGGUCAGGAAUAUAUUCCUCUCUCUUGAUAUAAAUUACCUGAACAAUAUUGUAAGUAUUUUAAUGUUUCCACAUAUUCAAAAUGAAAAAAGAAUUUUAAAAUGCAUAAAAACAUCUGGAUAGUUACAACCAUUUCACUUGUAUUUUGAUAAUACACAUGUAAAAGACAAAGUAACUUCUUAGUUUGUUGCCAUACAGACCUUACAAUAGGUGAAAAAAAACUUAAAAUGAAAAUAUGGCUAAGUAGGCCAUAAGGAGGACUGAAAGAGAGGACAAGAAAAAAGAAAGAGAAAUUAAGAUAUUAUACUAGUUAACUAAUUGUGUGUAUAUGUGUGAUUUUUGACUAGCAAAUUUGCUCCAUUUCAACAGAAACCUUAAUCUUCUCAAUUCUUUUUUUUUAUCCUUAUUUCUAAUUUUUUAGAAAUAAGGAGAAAAAAAAUUACAUAAGCUAAUGGCAGGUUAAUUAAAGCUCAUUGUUACAUGCUGAGAAAAACACAGAAUAUACUUUUAGAUUUUAAACGUAUUAUAUGAAGUUUGGAAUAUUGUGAAAUAAGAAGACAUACUGGAAAGAAAAAAAGAAAGCCAAGGGGGGGAAGGGCAAAUGGCUUAAAAAUAGGCUUAAAAAUUUACCAAAUUCUUUUGGUUCCCAACUGACACCAAGACCAAAGUACAUCAUUUUGCUUUCUUCUGAAGCUGCAGCCACAGAGGUCAUUGCCAAAUCUGCCUGUGGGGGGUACAGAGGAAUGCAAGAGGAAUGACUGAGCACUAGAAGUGAUGAACCAGAAAAAAAGCAUUUUUCUUAUUCCUCUGACACCAUUUUUUAAAAUGUUUUUAACAUGGUUGUCUUAAGUCUCCCUUACAAGCCACUGCCAGCAAGUGAAAAGAAAGCUAAGAGACCACAAGCUUGGUCUGUAACCCAACAAACAAUUUCAGUUAAAUGUAAUUAAAGCAGUAAAAACAAAAAUGAAUUAGAAGCUGGGAUACAAAACUCUACAAUUAAACAAAACAAAACAACAACAACAAAAAAAAACUCUGUAAUUUUAUAUUUUAAAAGGUUGUAGUCUGUAUACUGUAUUUAUUGGGAUUUUGCAACACAAGUGAACAUGCUAGGGUUUCUGAUGAGUCCUAUAAUUUUCAGGUUUUUUCCUCCAAAGGAAAAGUAUAUAGUGAUAUGUGGAAAGAAACCUUCCCAACAAAAACACACUGUAAAGGACUCAAUAUUCAAUGGCAUACUCUAGAUACCCAGGGUGUGCAGGGAAGUAUAGGGACCAUUUUUUCACAUCAAUUCUUACUUAUUCACCAUUGAAAAAAAAUGAAAAAAUUACAAAUAUAUAAAAAGCAACUUAAUUAUUUAACAGUCUUUUCAAAUUCAUCUCAAAAUUAAAACAACACAUGGAGUACUAUAAUCCUAUUAACUAUAAGUGUCAUUUGGGCAACAGCCAAGCUUAUGUUUCAUGAUUGUAAUCCUAGAAUUUGGUAGGUUACCCAACAAAGAUGAGAUGCCCAGUAAAUAUCUGUUGAUUGAAUAAAUAAAUAUUUGUCAUGUAAAAUAAUAAGUUAGUGAAUAUUUAAGUGUUAACUUCACAUAUAUACAUGUUAUAUACUAAAAUAUACUUAGGCCCCAAGUAAGAAAUAUUUGAAAAAUAAUUAAGAAAUUAAUAGAUGUUAGAAAUAUAAGAAUGAAAGACAAAAACAUUAAAAUGGGGAGAGAACUAUCACUUGAGAAAUACCAGUAUUAUUAAUGGCAACUUGAAGACUCAUCCUUAAACUAUUGGAGGGUGGUGGUUGUUGUUGUUGUUAUUGCUGUUGUUGUUGUUAUUGUUGGAAUAUAAUAGCCACAGGAGCCUCCAAGGACAUAAUUUGUUCAGGGAAUAAUUAAGGGUUUUCUCCUCUGCUCCCAUGAGGCCUAAUAACAUUAAAUGAGGUCUCAUCUGGCUGUGUCAUUUUCAGGACCUGUAGUAAUAUAAUAGAACCAGAGAAUCCUGAGAGUUGGAAGGAAACAUAUGGAUGAUCCAAGGAACAGUAAACAGAGGAGAAAUUUUCUCAGUGAGUUUAAGUGCCUUGCCCCAGUGCCCAUGGAAGGAGAUAAAAAACGUGAAACUUGCGUUCUAUAGAGUUCUAAAGCCUUGACCACAGUUUUAACCAUUCAUUGGGAAUCUGAAGUUUCUCAAAGCACUUCUUGAUUUGGAUCCCCUUUACUUCUGUUCUUAGAGCAAUGCUAUAUAGUCAUUCUCCACAAAAUUUGUGUACUAAGUUCCACUGUGAGGUUAGAACAUGUAGGAUGGGUGGAACUAGAUCUUAGCAUAUAUUUAGAUUCCUAGUUUCUCCAUUUCCUACUCAUGUGUUGGGCCUUCCUUUCCCCAUAUGGAAUUCAUUUUUAUCUCAGGUCAAAUUUGACAGGUAAACUUACUAAACUGAGAUACUAAAUGAUAGCAGGCUUCUAUAAAUUCAGCUGGUAAUGACAGGAACUAAAUGCUUAGAAGAAGAAGAAUAGGUCUCCACAGCCACUCAAUCCCCAUGACAAGGAAUACUCAAAGAAUUUAUAAAGUAUUAAUGAAGGAUACAUGGAACCAUAACAAUUUGGAUGUUAUCCAUUGGUGUGCAAAAAACACUAAAUUAUAUAUAAUUUUACUGAAGUUUCUUAACCCCAAACAGCUCAUGAACAGAAAUGAUUAGUUAAUACAAAGAUCUAUGAAUUAAUAACCUUUGAAUACAAACAUGCUUUCUUAGCCAUAGAAUGUAAUAUAGAAGGAGGAUAACAUCAUAUAUACAAAAUUAUCUGUUCCAAAUUCAAACUGAAAAAAACAAAACAAAAAAACAAACAAACAAAAAAUUCCCAUCAUUCUGCAGAGAGUGAAAAGCAAGAAUGGCUCUCCACAGUAAAACAGGUUGAGUUGUCCGCACAUCACAUACCACCAGAACACAAAAGUAAAGUUCAGGCCACUUAGGAGCCAUCAUAGGCCUUUAUUCAAAGUCAGAAAAGGUGACUGGCGACCAUCAGCUUUGCCAAUGCAUUAGCUCACACAGCUGCCCUGGAUAUCUGUCAUCUGCCUCUCAACACAUCAUACUUGGUAUGUAUGUAUACAUAGGCAAAAAAAAAAAAAUAACCUCAAAACUGACUAUAAUUAACAUGACAUGGUUUAUGGUAUUUGAAAGCAAAUAAGCACUGUGACCUCAUACCAUAAAAUAUGAUGUAUAAAAAUGAUAUAAAACCAACUUGGUGUUCUAUUUGACUUUCCAAUAAAAGUCGUUUUCCUGGUUUACCUGAUGAAAUGUUGUUUCAGAGGUUCAGCAAAUGAACUAUGAGUCAUAGCUUCUACUCUCUGCUACUUUACCAUUACCAUGAUUUAGGGCCAAUUCUCCUUCCUAUGUUAUAACAAAAAUAUAUAGGAUUAAAAUGCAAGCCUCACCACUCAUCU